ensembl:lncRNA
AUGACUUAUCUGCUAGAGGAAUUGAAAACAACUUUUGCAGAUGCAGACCCUGAGUGUAUACAAGCGUGUUGCAAGACAUACUUUGAAACACUUCGGAGAAAGUACAAUUUGUCUCAGCCAGAAAAGUCCCAGCUAAGAGAUGCCAUUAAAACAGGAGCUAAAAACCGACAAAGGAAAAGACGGUUGCUGGAUUCCAGGUCCAAGGUUGUUCAAACCGAUGCAGAGAGAGAGCUUUGGCAGACUGCAACAGUGGAGCUGAUGUCUGACGAGGAGGAUGCCAUUGUUGAUGGAAGGCCAGUGUGGAUUGUGAGGUCUCCAUCUCACAGGAACCCACAAUUGUCAGAACUUUGUGAGGAGCUUCAGCGCAGAUUGGAGGCAGACAUGCGCUACACUAUUUUGCAUCAUCAGCGUGUUAAGGCUGAUGGAAAUGGACAUGAUGGACCUUCCUUUCUUCAACUUUAACUAAACUGCACUGGUUUUGCAAUUUUAAUAAUUGCACCACAAACUGCACAUUUUCACUUAUUCUCUUCUAUUUUAUCUUAUUCUUUGUAUACUUAUUAGGUUAGAUUUAUUUAGUUUCAUAUUCUGCAACUUAUUUUCUUUUAAUAUUGUUUGUGUUUGCUGUGUUUGGUUACAUUUUAAAUACUUUGUGCUGUGUGUACAUAUUAAGUAGUUUAUUUAGUUUUAUAUUCUGUAACUGUUAUAAUAUUGCUUGUGUUUAGUAAAAUUUUAUAAAAGUACUUUGCUUUGUGUACAUAUUAUUUAGUUUUAUAUUCUCUAACUGUUAUAAUAUUGCUUGUGUUUAGUAAAAUUUUAUAAAAGUACUUUGCUUUGUGUACAUAUUAUUUCGUUUUAUAUUUUGUAACUGUUAUAAUAUUGCUUGUGUUUGGUUAAAUUUUAUAAAAGUACUUUUUCCCCUGUACAGUUCCUAUAGUUUUAUUUAUAUAUUUAAUGCUUUAUUUAUAUAUUUAAUGCUUUAAGUGUUUUGGUUUAAUUUUAAUAAAAAGAAAUUCUGAAUCCA